rnacentral:rRNA from 1 species
AGAGAACGCUGGCGGUAGGCCUAACACAUGCAAGUCGAACGGCAGCACAGGAGAGCUUGCUCUCUGGGUGGCGAGUGGCGGACGGGUGAGGAAUACAUCGGAAUCUACUCUGUCGUAGGGGAUAACGUAGGGAAACUUACGCUAAUACCGCAUACGACCUACGGGUGAAAGCAGGGGACCUUCGGGCCUUGCGCGAUUGGAUGAGCCGAUGUCGGAUUAGCUAGUUGGCGGGGUAAAGGCCCACCAAGGCGACGAUCCGUAGCUGGUCUGAGAGGAUGAUCAGCCACACUGGAACUGAGACACGGUCCAGACUCCUACGGGAGGCAGCAGUGGGGAAUAUUGGACAAUGGGCGCAAGCCUGAUCCAGCCAUACCGCGUGGGUGAAGAAGGCCUUCGGGUUGUAAAGCCCUUUUGUUGGGAAAGAAAUCCAGCUGGCUAAUACCCGGUUGGGAUGACGGUACCCAAAGAAUAAGCACCGGCUAACUUCGUGCCAGCCGCCGCGGUAACAC